rnacentral:rRNA from 1 species
AGUGAACGCUGGCGGCAGGCCUAACACAUGCAAGUCGAACGGCAGCACAGGGGAGCUUGCUCCCUGGGUGGCGCGUGGCGGACGGGUGAGGAAUACAUCGGAAUCUACCCUGUCGUGGGGGAUAACGUAGGGAAACUUACGCUAAUACCGCAUACGACCUCCGGGUGAAAGCAGGGGAUCGCAAGACCUUGCGCGUUUGGCUGAGCCGAUGUCCGAUUAGCUAGUUGGCGGGGUAAAGGCCCACCAAGGCGACGAUCGGUAGCUGGUCUGAGAGGAUGAUCAGCCACACUGGAACUGAGACACGGUCCAGACUCCUACGGGAGGCAGCAGUGGGGAAUAUUGGACAAUGGGCGAAAGCCUGAUCCAGCCAUGCCGCGUGGGUGAAGAAGGCCUUCGGGUUGUAAAGCCCUUUUGUUGGGAAAGAAAACUUUCCGGUUAAUACCCGGAGAGAAUGACGGUACCCAAAGAAUAAGCACCGGCUAACUUCGUG